GUGGACGACACACAAAGGAGUCCAAAAGGAUAGAGACCGGUAUAAGGCGUGUGGCCUCCCUCACUCAUUCCGCUCCAGAGACAGACGAAGCGUCCUUCUGCCUCACGUGUCAAGGCCUCGCAGGCCGGCCCGUCCCACCACCAAUCAUUUUAAUGUUGAGGCUCCAAACUUUCGAGGUGGAGAUCAGGCGGGCGGUGGGGGUGGAGCUCCUUGAUUCAGCAGUGUAUGAGAGCAGGAUCAGGCUUCUCUGGCCUUGAAAACUUUUAUCAGGAGGAAGACACAACUGCAGCUCCAAACACUGAAGGGCAGACUAAACACACUUAGAGCUAUGGAGAAAGAUAAAAACAUGACGGCUAUAGGAGUGAGCGUGAAGAUGGCGUACGUGUGAAAUCUCCCAAAGUCCUUCGAUGCCCCUCACUGGAUUUGGGAGGAACUACUUGGUGUAGAUAUGCAGGUCACAGCAACCUGGGGUUGCCUUAGCAACGACUGAAGAACGUGGAGUUGCCCUGGCAACAGAUGAAAUGAGGGGUUACCCUGACAAAAACGCUACAGGAACUCAUUUAGCAAGCCCUCGCUGUCCUUUUUCAGACAGAUAGCUGCAGACAUGACAGGCACAGUACUAAUACAAUGAAAGGGAAAAUGUUGUGGGUAAGUCAAACAUAUUCCUACCGAUUAAUUCUCAAAAACAGGCUCAUCCUUUCCAUUUACCCAAUAAACACAAAUCCAUAUGGGUAUGAUGGCGUCCUCACUU